AGAUUUAUAGACUUAGAGAGCCAGGUGGAAGAGCUUCGUGGAAAUGUUAUCAACAGGAGGUGUCGUGUGAACAUGAGCUGUGUCGAGGACAUGGCACUCCUUCUGAGUCGAGCCAGCAAUACUGUCGCUGAUCUAAAAGUUCGUUACCCAGGACUCCAAGAUAGGAUGAAACAAGUAAUGAGUGCUGACAUGGAAGUCGUGUUAAAAGGAG